CCCUUAGAUGUUCUGGGCUGCACGCGCGCUACACUGAUGCGUUCAACGAGCCUUCCUUGCUCGAGAGAGCUGGGUAAUCUUCAUGAAAACGCAUCGUGAUGGGGAUAGGCGCUUGUAAUUAUUCGCCUUGAACGAGGAAUUCCUAGUAAGCGCGAGUCAUCAGCUCGCGCUGAUUACGUCCCUGCCCUUUGUACACACCGCCCGUCGCUCCUACCGAUUGAAUGGUCCGGUGAAGCGUUCGGACCGUGGCCUUUGGACGGUUCGCCGUCUGUUGGCUGCGGGAAGUUCGUUAAACCUUAUCAUUUAGAGGAAGGAGAAGUCGUAACA
rnacentral:rRNA from 1 species